UUCCUACGGGGGGCAGCAGUGGGGAAUAUUGCACAAUGGGGGAAACCCUGAUGCAGCGACGCCGCGUGAGUGAAGAAGUAUUUCGGUAUGUAAAGCUCUAUCAGCAGGGAAGAAAUAGCGACUUUUGGGUCGCCAGACGGUACCUGAUUAAGAAGCCCCGGCUAACUACGUGCCAGCAGCCGCGGUAAUACGUAGGGGGCAAGCGUUAUCCGGAUUUACUGGGUGUAAAGGGAGCGUAGACGGCAGCGCAAGUCUGAUGUGAAAGUCCGGGGCUCAACCCCGGGACUGCAUUGGAAACUGUCCGG
rnacentral:rRNA from 1 species